CAGCCGCCGCGGUAAUACGGAGGGUGCAAGCGUUAAUCGGAAUUACUGGGCGUAAAGCGUGCGUAGGCGGUUCGUUAAGUCUGUUGUGAAAGCCCCGGGCUCAACCUGGGAAUGGCAAUGGACACUGGCGAGCUAGAGUGUGUCAGAGGAUGGUGGAAUUCCCGGUGUAGCGGUGAAAUGCGUAGAGAUCGGGAGGAACAUCAGUGGCGAAGGCGGCCACCUGGGACAACACUGACGCUGAGGCACGAAAGCGUGGGGAGCAAACAGGAUUAGAGACCCCCGUAGUCCCUGUCUCUUAUAC
rnacentral:rRNA from 1 species